CUGCACUACUCUGAUCCUAUUGGAGAUCCACUUACCCUCUAUGAGCAUGAUUCCUUCGAGUGGAUCAACGAGUGUCCAUACACUGUUAACCUUCAUGGACUUCAUUUUGGACCUAUAGCUCUAAGUCAUUAAUCAGAGUCGAACCUCUACACGGCAUCCAUGUAGGUGAUCAAAUCUUCAUUGUUCUCAUCGAGUUCAAUAGGAUCAUCCCGGAACUAGAUACCGAAGUAUCUAUCUGACGGACGUGGUACUCUAUCGGAUCUCCUUAAUGGUGCCUCUACAACGGAUUUCGAAUUUGAUCUGAUCAAAUUCGGUUCUAUGGAUUCACUAGAUUGUGUCGGUUCUUCUACCUGUCAAAGUUCUAUAUUAAAGACAUCAGUACCUUCACCAAGAUACUUUUUUUCUGAAAGAAAUGCCGCACAACUCUUAUUCUUUAGCAUGGUAGAAGUUAUAUCCCAUAGAUUCUUUAGG
rnacentral:lncRNA from 1 species